rnacentral:rRNA from 1 species
UGGGGAAUAUUGGGGCAAUGGAGGGAACUCUGACCCAGCAAUGCCGCGUGAGUGAAGAAGGUUUUCGGAUUGUAAAACUCUUUAAGCGGGGACGAAGAAAGUGACGGUACCCGCAGAAUAAGCAUCGGCUAACUACGUGCCAGCAGCCGCGGUAAUACGUAGGAUGCAAGCGUUAUCCGGAAUGACUGGGCGUAAAGGGUGCGUAGGCGGUAAAUCAAGUUGGCAGCGUAAUUCCGAGGCUUAACCUUGGAACUACUGCCAAAACUGGUGAACUAGAGUGUGUCAGGGGUAAGUGGAAUUCCCGGUGUAGCGGUGGAAUGCGUAGAUAUCGGGAGGAACACCAGUGGCGAAGGCGGCCUACUGGGGCACCAACUGACGCUGAGGCUCGAAAGUGUGGGUAGCAAACAGGAUUAGAUACCCUGGUAGU